GGGCCGAUGAGGUGAAGGUGAGGGCCGCACCGCUGGGAGUGUUGGGUAACUCCGACGGGGGGCGCCUCCGAGGGAUAGAGGCUCCAGAUCGCGAUCCCCUCCGCUGUGGGCAGCUGAAGGGUGACGGGGCAGG
rnacentral:ribozyme from 1 species